rnacentral:tRNA from 38 species
AGGCUCGUAGCUCAGGGGUAGAGCACCACCUUGACAUGGUGGGGGUCGGCGGUUCGAAACCGCCCGAGCCUACCA